AUGAUACAGAAAAAAAGCCUAAGGAUUGUAAUGGUAGCUUAAUUUUUGAUUGGUAGGCAUAUUUCUAAAAAAAAAAAAAAAACUA
rnacentral:ribozyme from 1 species